rnacentral:rRNA from 1 species
UACGAAGGGGGCUAGCGUUGCUCGGAAUCACUGGGCGUAAAGGAUGCGUAGGCGGACAUUUAAGUCAGAUGUGAAAUACCCGAGCUUAACUUGGGAACUGCCAUUGAUACUAUCGAUCUUGAAUACUGUGGAGGUAAGCGGAAUAUAUCAUGUAGCGGUGAAAUGCUUAGAUAUGAUAUAGAACACCAAUAGCGAAGGCAGCUUACUACGCAGUUAUUGACACUGAGGCUCGAAAGCGUGGGGAUCAAACAGG